rnacentral:rRNA from 1 species
UACGUAGGGUGCGAGCGUUAAUCGGAAUUACUGGGCGUAAAGCGUGCGCAGGCGGUUUUUCAAGUCUGAUGUGAAAUCCCCGGGCUUAACCUGGGAACUGCGUUUGAAACUUCAAGACUAGAAUAUGUCAGAGGGGGGUAGAAUUCCACGUGUAGCAGUGAAAUGCGUAGAGAUGUGGAGGAAUACCGAUGGCGAAGGCAGCCCCCUGGGAUAAUAUUGACGCUCAUGCACGAAAGCGUGGGGAGCAAACAGG